rnacentral:rRNA from 1 species
UACGUAGGUCCCGAGCGUUAUCCGGAUUUAUUGGGCGUAAAGCGAGCGCAGGCGGUCGGAUAAGUCUGAAGUUAAAGGCUGUGGCUCAACCAUAGUAUGCUUUGGAAACUGUUCAACUUGAGUGCAGAAGGGGAGAGUGGAAUUCCAUGUGUAGCGGUGGAAUGCGUAGAUAUAUGGAGGAACACCGGUGGCGAAAGCGGCUCUCUGGUCUGUAACUGACGCUGAGGCUCGAAAGCGUGGGUAGCGAACAGG